CCUACGGGAGGCUGCAGUGGGGAAUUUUGGACAAUGGGGGGAACCCUGAUCCAGCCAUGCCGCGUGUGUGAAGAAGGCCCUCGGGUUGUAAAGCACUUUCAGUGAGGAAGAACGCCUGGUGGUUAAUACCCAUCAGGAAAGACAUCACUCACAGAAGAAGCACCGGCUAACUCCGUGCCAGCAGCCGCGGUAAUACGGAGGGUGCGAGCGUUAAUCGGAAUUACUGGGCGUAAAGCGCGCGUAGGUGGCUUGAUAAGCCGGUUGUGAAAGCCCCGGGCUCAACCUGGGAACGGCAUCCGGAACUGUCAAGCUAGAGUGCAGGAGAGGAAGGUAGAAUUCCCGGUGUAGCGGUGAAAUGCGUAGAGAUCGGGAGGAAUACCAGUGGCGAAGGCGGCCUUCUGGACUGACACUGACACUGAGGUGCGAAAGCGUGGGUAGCAAACAGGAUUAGAUACCCUAGUAGUC
rnacentral:rRNA from 1 species